GGCCCUAUCGUCUAGUGGCCUAGGACGGAGCCCUCUCAAGGCUCAAACCCGGGUUCGAAUCCCGGUAGGGUCA
rnacentral:tRNA from 1 species